AUCAUGAAGUUGCUAAGCUUGGAUAUGGCUAUCUUUAUUUGAUGUCUUGCUCUUCAUCUUCCUAUUUGUGUAUUGAUAUUGCUUGAUUCAAAAGUCCAAGGGAAAUUUGGGUUUCUAUAUAACAUUUUUGUCUAUUGGAUUGCAGCCCAUUGGUCAAACCUUUUUAACUCUUAACUUUUAAAUUUUUGCUUAGGAUUAGUCUCUUCAUCUCCACCCACUUCUUUAAUUUCAAAUCUCUCCC
rnacentral:lncRNA from 1 species